rnacentral:rRNA from 1 species
GUUAGGAAUAUUGGACAAUGGACGCAAGUCUGAUCCAGCCAUGCCGCGUGAGUGAUGAAGGCCUUCGGGUUGUAAAGCUCUUUAGCCGACGAUUAUAAUGACUGUAGUCGGAAAAUAAGCCCCGGCUAACUUCGUGCCAGCAGCCGCGGGAAUACGAAGGGGGCGAGCGUUAUUCGGAAUCACUGGGCGUAAAGCGUGCGUAUGCGGUUUUGUAAGUUGGGAGUGAAAGCCCAGGGCUCAACCCUGGAAUUGCUCUCAAAACUACAAGACUUGAAUUCGAGAGAGGAUAGCGGAAUUGUCAGUGUAGCAGUGAAAUGCGUAGAUAUUGACAGGAACACCAGUGGCGUAAGCGGCUAUCUGGACCGACAUUGACGCUGAGGCACGAAAGCGUGGGGAUCAAACAGGAUUAGAUACCCUAGUAGUCC